UCACGUGACUCCCGGGCUGCGCUUGGAGCUGGGUCUCUGGCGACUCCCAAGGCUUGGGGUUCGAGUCUGUACCGACAAAAUCCUUUGUGUGCUGCGGUUUAAAAAAACCACAGAUAAUGGUGCUGCUGGAUCAUUGCUAUUUAAAGUAGUGGAGAUGCCCAAGGUCACAUGGCCUAUGAAAAACUGCUCUCCCUUCCAAGGACCCAGUGAUCUUUAGACCAGCUCAAGCCUCCCAGUUCUCCCUGCUGGCUGAAAACCAUGUGCACUGGAAUUCUGAGAGGCAUGAACCCCCAUGCCUGAAACUUUCCUCAUCUCCCAAUGAGAGCCUUGUCUGGAGGAUGCAUCACCCAUGCCACAGGAGGCAGUGGCUGCAGUGGCUGCAGUGGAUACGGUGGAUGAGGUGGCUGCGGUUGGUAUUGCAUGCAGGAUCCCAUGGCGGGGAAGACCCCAGCAGCCUCCACAGCUCCUCCCAUCAAGAUGAGAGGCUAGUCAGUGGAUAGAGCGUCUCCUAGUCAAGGCAUGGUUAAUUUCUCUAUGUCCUGCAAACAAAGUAUGUGGAGUCUUCUCACCAAUAUGCUCCGACUAUCCAGUUCUGCUGGCUCACCCAGAACAAUGGCAAGAGCUCCUGUUGUUUUGGGGCUUCCUGACCAUUACCUUAUUCACACUUGGCACUGAGACUUUUAUUUAAUAACCCACGUCUGUUGGGAGCAGCUUCCUCGCUGAAGCAGAGCACCUCUGUUUAGACUGUUUCUUUAAAAAACAAAAACAAGUUAAAUUAGCAUACAUACUUGUGGUUUUCCAUAAAUCUUUUUCAUUUGCCCUAAGUUUUGGUUAACUCACAUUCUACCCAUUCCCUCCUUCCCAUCCCCAUGCCUCCAUCUACACUUAACCCUUCAACCCCCAGUAUUCCCUCCCUGUUCUUUUAUGUCACACGUUUUCUACUGUCCCCUCUAAUUAUAUUUUUGUACUAGAAGUAGACGAUCAUAGGUUUCCAUGAACCUUUUCCAGAUGCCCUUCAUUUCAGUUAACCCUUCCCUUGCUUACACUUCCCCAUGCUUAACCUUCAGUUCCUCUAGUCUCCCUCUCUGCUUAUAACUAUAUUUUAUUGUCUUCCCUCCCUUAAUGCCCAUCCUCAGUAACCCAUUUCUAGUUUUCUAGAUCUGUUUGUUCUUCAAGUUAAACACACAAGACAAAAUAUUUGAAGGCAGAAUCCUCUUGUGAGACAGAAACAUGGCAUUUGUCUUUCUGGGCCUGGGUGGGUGGAGAUAUUCCUGGUUCCAUUCAUUUAGCUGAAAUUUUCAUGACAUCAUUUUUCUCUUGACCAAGCCAGCUCAGGCCGUCAAUAGGUUCUCCAGGGCAGGAGUGAGGAUUAAAAAGAACAAAAGACAAUAAAACAACAUUGUAGCAUGACCCCAGCCAGUUCUGAGGCUGAGGCGGGUUUAUUUUUUCCCACUCUGCUUUUAUACCAUUUUUAAUUUCAUGCGAGUAAUAAGGUCAGUUCUAGGUUGAGGAACAAGCAAGACAAUAAAGACAAAUAGUCAAGGAGCAAGCAAGGCAAUAAAUUAAGUCCUGUGAUCACUCCCUUGAUCACUGCUUCCUGGGGCUUAUCAAGGUGACCAAUGUAUCUGAGCCUACUUCCCUGUUUUAGACCAAACUUGUAUUCUUGCCUGAAGCCUACUUUUUUGUUCUAGCCUAAAAUCAGAUUCUUGCCUGAGCUUCCUUCCUUGUCAUGGCCCAAUGUCAAAUUCCUACCAAGUGGCCCCAAAAAGCUCUCCACAUCUUUGCAGCUGAGUAUUUCCUAGUGUAAAUGUGCCACACUUUCUGUAUCCAUUCAUCAGCUAGUGGACAUCUGCUUGAUCCUAUGUCUUCAUUACUAUGAACAGAGCACUAGUGAACAUGGAUGUAAGAGUGUCUCUAAGACACAUAUCCUUUGGAUAUGUGCCCAGAAGGGACAUUGCAUGGUCAUGUGGUCAUUCUACUUACAGUCUUUAGAGGAACUCCCAGCCUGAGUUCUAAAGUGGCUACACAGUUUACACACCCACCAACAGCACACGACUGUCCCCAAUCCUCCAUAUUGACACCAGCAUUUGUUGUCAUUUGUUUUCCUGAUCAUAGUCAAGGACUGGGCUAAAAUGGAAUCUCAAAGUAGCUUAAAUCUGCACUUCUUCCCUGAUAGCUAAGGAUGUUGGACACGUUUUCAAAUGUUUUGUGGCCAGUUGUGUUUUGAGAAUGUACUGCUCAGUUCUGUAGCCCAUUUUAAAACUUGGGUUCUUUGUUUUUUG
ensembl:lincRNA